rnacentral:rRNA from 1 species
GACGAACGCUGGCGGCGUGCUUAACACAUGCAAGUCGAGCGGGGAUGUUCGGAGUGCUUGCACACUGAACAUUCCAGCGGCGGACGGGUGAGUAACGCGUGAACAAUCUGUCCCAUACAGGGGGAUAACAGAUGGAAACAUCUGCUAAUACCGCAUAAGACCACGAUGCCACAUGGCGAUGGGGUAAAAGGAGCAAUCCGGUAUGGGGUGAGUUCGCGUCCGAUUAGCUAGUUGGUGAGGUAACGGCCCACCAAGGCGACGAUCGGUAGCCGACCUGAGAGGGUGAUCGGCCACACUGGAACUGAGAGACGGUCCAGACUCCUACGGGAGGCAGCAGUGGGGAAUAUUGGGCAAUGGGCGAAAGCCUGACCCAGCAACGCCGACGUGAGGGAAGAAGGUUUUCGGAUUGUAAACCUCUGUCC